rnacentral:rRNA from 1 species
CCUACGGGAGGCUGCAGUAGGGAAUCUUCCGCAAUGGGCGAAAGCCUGACGGAGCAACGCCGCGUGAGUGAUGAAGGUCUUCGGAUCGUAAAACUCUGUUAUUAGGGAAGAACAUACGUGUAAGUAACUAUGCACGUCUUGACGGUACCUAAUCAGAAAGCCACGGCUAACUACGUGCCAGCAGCCGCGGUAAUACGUAGGUGGCAAGCGUUAUCCGGAAUUAUUGGGCGUAAAGCGCGCGUAGGCGGUUUUUUAAGUCUGGUGUGAAAGCCCACGGCUCAACCGUGGAGGGUCAUUUGAAACUGGCAAACUUGAGUGCAGAAGAGGAUAGUGGAAUUCCAGGUGUAGCGGUGAAAUGCGCAGAGAUAUGGAGGAACACCAGUGGCGAAGGCGACUUUCUGGUCUGUAACUGACGCUGAGGUGCGAAAGCGUGGGGAUCAAACAGGAUUAGAUACCCGUGUAGUC